AUCCAGUCGAUGAGUCCCAAAUAGGACGAAAUCUGCGUUAUUCUGGAU
rnacentral:hammerhead_ribozyme from 1 species